UAGAUUUGAAUUACUUGAAGAGUCU
rnacentral:piRNA from 1 species